rnacentral:rRNA from 1 species
GUACCCGAAGUCGCCCCUCAAAACGGCGCCGAAGGUAUGGGUUGGUGAUUGGGAGUG